AGGUUUUAUAUAAUACACAAAACGCGCCCCCCCCUCCAUCCAAUGGACGGCGCUGAGUUAUCAAACAUUUAAACCAAAUUUUCUCAAAACAACUUGUCUGACCAUCCCAUCAGCCUCUCCUUUGAGAAACACUGAUUUAACCUAAAUUUCGGAC